GUCCCAAUAUCAUAACAAUCUUAAAUAAAACUUCUAAAUAUGCCUGUGUGUGUACCCGUGUGCGCGCGCGUUUGUAUGUACAGUAUGUGCGUGAGUUUUAAAUUUAAAAUGUCUUAACUUAACUCGGAAGGAUCUGAAUCACAGGUCAUUUCAUCUGAGAUCAUUCCGCAUGUAACAGCCGGAAUCACUCACUGUUUCCCACAACGACACAAAUCAUCAGCCGUUUCCUCAAGGUCACGUCAGAGCGGUGAUGAUGUGGAGAGGCAGACUAGACCACCACCAUACGCGAAGAUGAGCCUCGAGGCGUGACAGUUAUUUUUUCAAACUGAGGAGUUCGGACUCCGGACCGGCAUUUCUGCUUGUUUGUACCCUGAGAUAACCAUGGUUAAUAAAUGAUCAGACACGUCACUGGCUUUAAAAUAUAAACCCCAUUGAUGCAAAAAGAUGCUGCAUGGAAUGACAAUGUGGUUUGGAACAGACUUGGUGAAGAACAUGGAAAUGUCUCUUAAUAAAAUGGCCCCAAACAUCAUCAGGAGUGCAAAAGAAGGAAGUAAAAAACAUCUCUAUGCCAAUCUCAUUGGAGAGGAAACGACAGAAGGUCUGGUGAGGAAUGCUGCACUUAUGUUAUUGCAAGCAUUAUUUCAAGAAAAUCCCAGCUUCCUUGACUGUGUAAAUAGUGAACCCAAAGGUCCCACACCAACCAUAGUGUUCAACGGCUCUCCUGAUCUUCUCAAAUCUGAAAGUCGGAGAAGCGGACCGCCCCUGUCGCGGAUCACGCUCCUUCUAGUUCCACCUCGAGGAGGUCCCAAAGCACCCCAAUGCCCAGACAAACCAGAGAUAAGUAAAAUAUAGAAAUAGAAACUUUAUUUAAAUUAUUUAAAACUAAAGUGGGGAAUAGGAAAGGGAAUCUAAAAAUCUCGCUUCUCGCCCUCAGGGGGAGUAUUACGGGGCCAGGGACGUUGGAGGGGUUUCCACGUGACUCCAGCUGGAACACCGCUACAGAGCGUAUCUGGGUGGGUUGGGCACACAUCGUCGUGGCGGCCCCUGAUGGCAUCCACAAAGGUUCAAGACCCUCCUAAGCUCCUAGCCGUAGCAGAACUACGUAUUUCAGCACCCGAAGGACUAACAACCCAGCCGGCAUCUGCAGCGUAUAUCCAACGCCAUCAAACUUCACUCUGACAAGUAACUUCCUAUACACAACCACGCCGUCCUUUCGCCCGGACCAGCCCCGCACUCUUUCCGCCCACUACCUAGCGGUCGCCGGAUCAGCAGAGCCUGCGGACUCUUCGGAGGCUGGUCUUCUUGUGCUGCCCAAGGCGGAAGUUGACUCUUCUCUCUUUAUAUCCUCCUCCAUGGCGUGGCUCGCCUAACCAUCGCUCGCCACGUCACUCACACAGCUGUGCCUUGUUUCAGCGAGUGCGGGGAUUCCCGGGGAACCCGGAAGUGCCGGUGUCUGUACAAACUGGUCCGGGCGGAACCUCUUCACUCUCCUUUUGGUUCCGCCCCGCAUAGUCACUCCGUGACAACUGUUUGCGUUUUUUUUCUCCUCAAUGUUCAAUACCCUUUUGCCAUUAAGCACACAGUGACUUUAAUUUAUAAAAUAUAUGCUUAAGUUUUAAUACUUGUACAAAACAAAUGUACAAUCAACUUGUGUAAAUUGUCAUUUUAUUUAAUAGAUUGUUCAUGAAUUGUCUUUAAAUGCAUUGUGAUUUCGGUAACACUUUACAAUGAAGUUCAUUAGUUAACAUUAGUUAAUGUAUUAACUAACUUGAACAAACCAUAAGCAAUACAUUUGUUACAGUAUUUAUUAAUCUUUGUUAAUGUUAGUUAAUAAAAAUUUAAGCUUUAAUUGCUUGUUCAUGUUAGUUCAGAGUGCAUUAACUAAUGUAAACAAGAUUUUAAUAAAGUAAUGGUUGAAAUUAACAUUAACAAAGAUUAAUAAAGGCUGUAUAAGUGCAGUUCAUUAUUAGUUCAUGUUAACUAAUGUAGCUAACUAAUGUUAACUAAUGAACCUUAUUGUAAAGUGUUACCGUGAUUUCUUUUCAUCAUUUCAGACACAUGUAAAAGUUACUAAAAAUUAGUACUGCAUAUACUGUACAGUAUCUAUGCGUAAGGGAAAUAACUUGAACAAAAUUUUUUAAUGUAUAGUGUAAUUAAUUGUUUAGCUGUUUAAUACAGAGAUGUAAUUUAUUUAUAUAUAUUAUUUAUA